UACGUAGGGAGCAAGCGUUUGUCCGGAAUCAUUGGGCGUAAAGCGCGCGUAGGCGGCCUCGUAAGUCCGUUGUGAAAGUCAAAGGCUCAACCUUUGAAAGCCGAUGGAUACUGUGAGGCUAGAGUCCGGAAGAGGCGAGUGGAAUUCCUGGUGUAGCGGUGGAAUGCGCAGAUAGUCAGGAGGAACACCAAUAGCGAAGGCAGCUCGCUGGGACGGUACUGACGCUAAGGCGCGAAAGCGUGGGGAGCGAACAGG
rnacentral:rRNA from 1 species